UUUAGGGACCCGAGCCAUAGCCUGCAAGGCUGGCGAGAGCCCUAUUGUUUUUUUUGUUCCCAAUGAAUCCCUAAUUAGAGGUGCUAAAAAAUGAGUAAAAUCAUGAACAACAAAAAUGAGAGACACAAGCUUUCUGCCUCUUUAAAUUCAUUCCGCUUGAUUUGCUCAUUCAGAGUCCAUAUUAAUUAAACUCAAUAUCAAGUUUUUGCUGCUCCCACGUUUCUCUUUACAGCAAGAAACAGAGGCCGCUCUCCCACUUAGGCCUUGCCAGGUAUGUGGUCAUCGUUUAGGCAAUAAAAGCAGUUGCUUAUGUCACGAGGGUGGCUUUGAACUCCCAACCUCUGGCAUGAAAAACAGACGCGCUAUACCGAAGGAGCUGAACUCAAAUGAUCUUAAGUAACAGUUGCUACCAGAUAUUUUAAGGUGCACGAGAAUACAGGAAAUGGCAUCUACACUGGAAAAAUAUUUUUUUGCUUCUGACGUAUUUAACUUUCAAAUCCCAUUUAAAAUUCUUCAAAAUAUUCAACUUUGUUUGACAUAAAUUCUUUCACACAAUGUGUCUAUGGGUGCAAAUCGAUUUUGAUGACACUUUUGGUACUACAAACUCCGAGUGAAAGGAGUUUCAACCAACUGCUGCACCAUACCAUAAUUUUAAGCAGGUUUAAAUGAGGGAAUCUGAAGAGUCAAUUACAAAAUCAAAUCAACCAGGAGAUGGACAUGUCCCCCAACAGAAUGCAGCAAAACAGUUGUGUCUGUCUGUAUUUAUCCAUUUGGCCACAAUUCAGGCGAAUCCCUAAAUGCGGUGACCUCAGCCAUGGCACAGACGGAUUGAUCUACGGCGAUCAAAUGGUUGAAAAGCAGCACAGUAAACACAUCGGAUGGAGACUGAUCAAUCUCUGCUGCUCUGAGACUCUGUGUUUGACCGUGACCACAGACGGAGAGGCGACGUAAAUAAACAGUGGCUGUGUGAACUCAGUC